GCGGGRAUUCGAUUAUCGUAUUACCGCGGCUGCUGGCACGUAGUUAGCCGUGACUUUCUGGUUGAUUACCGUCAAAUAAAGGCCAGUUACUACCUCUAUCCUUCUUCACCAACAACAGAGCUUUACGAUCCGAAAACCUUCUUCACUCACGCGGCGUUGCUCCAUCAGGCUUUCGCCCAUUGUGGAAGAUUCCCUACUGCUGCCUCCCGUAGGAGUAUGGGCCGUGUCUCAGUCCCAAUGUGGCCGAUCAGUCUCUCAACUCGGCUAUGCAUCAUCGCCUUGGUAAGCCUUUACCUUACCAACUAGCUAAUGCACCGCGGGGCCAUCCCAUAGCGACAGCUUACGCCGCCUUUUAAAAGCUGAUCAUGCGAUCUGCUUUCUUGUCCGGUAUUAGCAUCUGUUUCCAAUCACUAGUGAAUUCGCGGCCGCCUGCAGGUCGACCAUAUGGGAGAGCUCCCAACGCGU
rnacentral:rRNA from 1 species